rnacentral:rRNA from 1 species
GGGACACGUGGUAUCCUGUCUGAAUAUGGGGGGACCAUCCUCCAAGGCUAAAUACUCCUGACUGACCGAUAGUGAACCAGUACCGUGAGGGAAAGGCGAAAAGAACCCCGGCGAGGGGAGUGAAAAAGAACCUGAAACCGUGUACGUACAAGCAGUGGGAGCCUCUUAAUGGGGUGACUGCGUACCUUUUGUAUAAUGGGUCAGCGACUUAUAUUCUGUAGCAAGGUUAACCGAAUAGGGGAGCCGAAGGGAAACCGAGUCUUAACUGGGCGUUAAGUUGCAGGGUAUAGACCCGAAACCCGGUGAUCUAGCCAUGGGCAGGUUGAAGGUUGGGUAACACUAACUGGAGGACCGAACCGACUAAUGUUGAAAAAUUAGCGGAUGACUUGUGGCUGGGGGUGAAAGGCCAAUCAAACCGGGAGAUAGCUGGUUCUCCCCGAAAGCUAUUUAGGUAGCGCCUCGUGAAUUCAUCUCCGGGGGUAGAGCACUGUUUCGGCAAGGGGGUCAUCCCGACUUACCAACCCGAUGCAAACUGCGAAUACCGGAGAAUGUUAUCACGGGAGACACACGGCGGGUGCUAACGUCCGUCGUGAAGAGGGAAACAACCCAGACCGCCAGCUAAGGUCCCAAAGUCAUGGUUAAGUGGGAAACGAUGUGGGAAGGCCCAGACAGCCAGGAUGUUGGCUUAGAAGCAGCCAUCAUUUAAAGAAAGCGUAAUAGCUCACUGGUCGAGUCGGCCUGCGCGGAAGAUGUAACGGGGCUAAACCAUGCACCGAAGCUGCGGCAGCGACACUAUGUGUUGUUGGGUAGGGGAGCGUUCUGUAAGCCUGUGAAGGUGGCCUGUGAGGGUUGCUGGAGGUAUCAGAAGUGCGAAUGCUGACAUAAGUAACGAUAAAGCGGGUGAAAAGCCCGCUCGCCGGAAGACCAAGGGUUCCUGUCCAACGUUAAUCGGGGCAGGGUGAGUCGACCCCUAAGGCGAGGCCGAAAGGCGUAGUCGAUGGGAAACAGGUUAAUAUUCCUGUACUUGGUGUUACUGCGAAGGGGGGACGGAGAAGGCUAUGUUGGCCGGGCGACGGUUGUCCCGGUUUAAGCGUGUAGGCUGGUUUUCCAGGCAAAUCCGGAAAACCAAGGCUGAGGCGUGAUGACGAGGCACUACGGUGCUGAAGCGACAAAUGCCCUGCUUCCAGGAAAAGCCUCUAAGCAUCAGGUAACAUCAAAUCGUACCCCAAACCGACACAGGUGGUCAGGUAGAGAAUACCAAGGCGCUUGAGAGAACUCGGGUGAAGGAACUAGGCAAAAUGGUGCCGUAACUUCGGGAGAAGGCACGCUGAUAUGUAGGUGAAGCGACUUGCUCGUGGAGCUGAAAUCAGUCGAAGAUACCAGCUGGCUGCAACUGUUUAUUAAAAACACAGCACUGUGCAAACACGAAAGUGGACGUAUACGGUGUGACGCCUGCCCGGUGCCGGAAGGUUAAUUGAUGGGGUUAGCGGCAACGCGAAGCUCUUGAUCGAAGCCCCGGUAAACGGCGGCCGUAACUAUAACGGUCCUAAGGUAGCGAAAUUCCUUGUCGGGUAAGUUCCGACCUGCACGAAUGGCGUAAUGAUGGCCAGGCUGUCUCCACCCGAGACUCAGUGAAAUUGAACUCGCUGUGAAGAUGCAGUGUACCCGCGGCAAGACGGAAAGACCCCGUGAACCUUUACUAUAGCUUGACACUGAACAUUGAGCCUUGAUGUGUAGGAUAGGUGGGAGGCUUUGAAGUGUGGACGCCAGUCUGCAUGGAGCCGACCUUG